CUCAACAUCACCAUCACCACCACCAUCACGGCUGAUCACGGCUUAUGAUAUCCAUGAUCAACAAAAAAGAAGAUAUGUACCAGCAUAAUGAUAUCUACUCUCACGCAUAUAUUUCCUCUAUAUUUAUGAAUUCCACCAUUUACCUACAUCACUUCGUGAGCAAGAGAAGAGCUUGCGAGAAUAGCAGAAAGCCUUGCAAGGAUUUUUCCAGCUGCAGUGAAUCAGCAGCUUUCUACAAGUUUCAAAAAAAAGUGUUGUGAAAAUGAAGUGGAGAAUAGAAGGAUUGCCGAAUUGAUAUAUGACAUGUGAUCAAGAGGAGCCAAGUAGCGCACAAGUGAAAGAUCCAAUCCAAUUUGUAAAGGACCUCCUAGAUGCAAUUCAAGAUCUCAACCCAACACAGAGAGAGAGAGAGAGCUGGGUCAUUAAUCCUCCAGCUGGGAAUUGCCAUUCACACCUUGCAUAGAAAUGAUACUUACGCUUCAUUUGAGACGAUAUGAAGAUGUCUGGUCAUGUUAGCAACAAGGCACACCAAAUGACAUUUCCAGUUAGUCAACCGGGACAUCAUUGUGUAGCAUUUGAAUCGAACUGACGAGUUCUUCUCUGCUCGUCUUAUCAUUCAGUUUACGCUGGUGUGCGUUUGCUUGCAGGCACAACAACUGAAUAUUCCAAUGUUUUAAUCAGCAGGCACUCCUAAUUGAUGGAAUCUUUGAUUCUGAGUCAUAAGAAAACCAGAUAAAGGUCACAAACAAGAAUAAUAAGCAGGAGUUUGAGAGGCUGAUACAGGAUUUGAAGCAGGGAAAAAAAUGAGACCUAUCUUCUUUGUUUAGUCUUUCUAUUUGGCCUGAAGAUUUGGCCUGAAGAGUUAAUUCAUGUUGCUUAGAGUUAGUGCCAGCCGUGGACAGAAGACAGCCCUUCGUAGAUGCUUACUAACAUGUUCGCAGUAGCUUCAAAAUGCCUUACACAUUACUCUUCCUAAAAUUGCGAUGCUGAAAGAAAGCAAGUGACAUAAUUGGAUCAAAUUUUAGUUGGAAAGGCUUAACAACAUUGCUUGCAAUGCCGAUGACUUCUCCUCUCAUUAUAACAAAAGAAAGAAUGAUCUUAUUAAAUGCUGCUCCAAAAGCAACCAAUAUGGUAAGAAUAGUGAAAAGGGGAUUGAUGCUCUUCGUUUCGGUGACUUGUUGAUGGCAUCUGGGGUUGUGUUGGGUGAUACUGUUCAUUGUGUUAUGUGGUUAUCAUUUUGGGUACUUGUCGAAGCUGCUCACUUGUAGGACAUUGCCUGAUUCACAGACCGAGUUUUUCGAGCUUAUCAAAGUGUUUUUUUCCAGAGGUUUAUGAUAUUAAACAUUUGAUGAAGUAUUGUAACAGCCAUCACGGUGGAUUGAACAAGCUUGCGAAAUUGCUUCAUGUGGAAAGAAUUGGGAAUUGUCAUCAAGCUGGUCCCAAUGGUUUGCUCACUGCGGAAACUGAAACAUCAAUACUUUAGUGGAUGAACUGAGAAAUACUCAGGUGUGUUGUAUGGUCUUGGUGUUGAAAAUGGUCAAAGUACUAAUUUUAAGAAAAAAGUUGAGUAUUAAUAAAUGAAAGAAGAAAAAAAAUUGGUUGAUUAGAUUUCUGGUGUUGUUUGAUUGUUACUGUCUGGGUUUUUCUUUGGAGAACUGGUUGGUGUUUAAGUUGUUCUCUCUGGAUAAAAUGCAGGGUGGCAUAUUUUGAUGCAUUUUUAUGGAACAAAACUAUUCCCACUAAAAUUUCUCUUGUAGUAUGGGCAGCUGCAAUUAAUAGUCUUCCGACAACAGAAAAUCUGAAAAGAAGAGGAAUGGAAAUUGAGAAUGGUACAUGUAGGUUUUGUGACAACAUCGAGGAUGAGUCAGCUAACCAUCUUUUUAUUAGUUGCAAGGUUGCGCUGAUUUAUGGCAGCAUUUUUUUGGGUUGCUUGAUUCAACAUGGUCUCCUCCCAAUUCAGUGAUACAAGUUCUGAACGAUUGGAAGCUCAAAUUUAGUUUAAAACCGUCGAUCUUCAUCAAGUAUUGCCUGCCAUUUGCUAUACGGUGUGUUCUUUGGACCGAAAGGAACAACAGGGUGUUUAGGACAGAAUCAAUCACUUAUGAGAAGUUGCUCAUUAACAUUAAAGCAACUCUAUACAACUGGGCUUCCAUGUAUAAGGAGCUUAGAAUCUUUACUUUUGAUGACUUCACGUGUAGAUGGGAAAAAUUUAAAGACAACAUGUA